rnacentral:tRNA from 1 species
AAUGUUUUAGUUUAUGUUUAAAAUAACAAUUUUCGAAAUUGUAGAAUUUCGUUUAAACAUUU